rnacentral:rRNA from 1 species
GAGAGGGUGAACGGCCACAUUGGGACUGAGACACGGCCCAAACUCCUACGGGAGGCAGCAGUGGGGAAUAUUGCACAAUGGGGGAAACCCUGAUGCAGCGACGCCGCGUGAGCGAGAAGUUUUCGGUAUGUAAAGCUCUUCAGCAGGAAGAAAAUGACGGUACCUGACUAAAAGCCCCGGCUAACUACGUGCCAGCAGCCGCG